GACUUUGGCCUUCUCUUGAUUAUUUUUACCUGCAUUAUCCUGUUAGUCUGCCUGCUCUAGAAGAACUGCAUUGCAACCUGGAAAUACAUGCACAGCUAGACUGUGAGAUAUGAAAUGGAGAGUUUGUGAGGUGAAACUCUUGUUUUUAAAUUGCAGGAAUUUUUUUCCUAUAAAAAUUAACUUGCAAAAUGUGACUAUUGAUCUCUUAAAUGGGUUCUAAAAAUUUCAAUUUUUGUGGAAGCACCCAACUGUACGCAAUGGCGUGUCAAAUGCAUGGAUUUGUUCAUUAUCUGACCUGGGAGCUAUCGUGGUUUGGACAUGUCAUCUUAAAAUAGUCUCCCCAAAAUUGAACUGGAAUUCCUAUGCUUUCCAUAUGAUUUAGGUUAUAAUAGAGAACUUGUACCCUUUUGAACAUUUAAGUUAUUACUUUGAGGUGGCUGGUACAUUAUCAGUCCACAAUGGACUCUUGUUGUUUUGUUGCAAUUAGAUUGUUUUACAAUUUAUUUGACUUUCUUCAGGGAAAGAACACAAAGUUAAGCUUUUGUUAUGGCUGCCUCAUGGCGCAAGCUUGCAAGUUUGAUGGCUAAGACUCUGAUAAUGUUGCAAAUACGAUACUUUUUUUGAUAAUGUUGCAAAUAUGAUGUGUAGUUUAUGAGUAUCGAUGACAAUGUGUUAAUUUCUCAUUAUUGUAGUUUUAGAACUGCUGGAUAUAUUUUUUCUAAUAUUGCUGCCUCCGUUCUUUUGUUUGAACAUUUAGAAUUUGAGACGACUGAUUUGACUUUUAAGCUCACAGCUUUGCCUAUUUCGUGAUGGUUUCAGGUGUUGAGUGCUCCAUACCUCCA
rnacentral:lncRNA from 1 species